AUAAAAAACCAAUGCUUCGGGCUCCUUGGUGAUUCAUGAUAACUUAACGAAUCGCAUGGCCUUGCGCCGGCGAUGGUUCAUUCAAAUUUCUGCCCUAUCAACUUUCGAUGGUAGGAUAGUGGCCUACCAUGGUUUCAACGGGUAACGGGGAAUUAGGGUUCGAUUCCGGAGAGGGAGCCUGAGAAACGGCUACCACAUCCAAGGAAGGCAGCAGGCGCGCAAAUUACCCAAUCCCAAUUCGGGGAGGUAGUGACAAUAAAUACUGAUACAGGGCUCUUUUGGGUCUUGUAAUUGGAAUGAGUACAAUUUAAAUCCCUUAACGAGGAACAAUUGGAGGGCAAGUCUGGUGCCAGCAGCCGCGGUAAUUCCAGCUCCAAUAGCGUAUAUUAAAGUUGUUGCAGUUAAAAAGCUCGUAGUUGAACCUUGGGUCUGGCUGCCCGGUCCGCCUAACCGCGUGCACUGGUGCGGCCGGAUCUUUCCUUCUGGCUAACCUCAUGCCCUUCACUGGGUGUGUC
rnacentral:rRNA from 1 species